rnacentral:rRNA from 1 species
GAGAAAUUUUUCCAACAAAGAUACAAAGACAUGGAAGCUUACGAAGGAAAAAAAUUUAAACUAAAGCAUUGUUGGGACUUGCUCAAAGGAUGUGACAAGUGGAAGUUGAUUGACAGAGAAUCCCCACCGAAGAGAGGUUCACUUACGGACAUGGAUGAUGAUGAAGAUGAUGAUGGCCCAUGAAACUUGAACAAGCCCGAUGGUGAGAAGAAGACAAAGGAGAAGAUCAAGAGGGAACAUGAAGCAUCGAGCUUGCGGGACAAGAUAGAUGCCAUGGUGCAAUCAAAUGAGUUGAUGUUAGCGAAGACAUUGGAGACAAAGAAAGAGUUGACCGAGAAUAAGGCACGAGAGAAGCAAGAGAAGUGGCAAUUGCUCAAGGACGAGGGGUUGCGCAAGGCGGCCAUUGAGGAGAGAAGAGCCUAUGCCGCUGAGACCAAAGCCAUGGCCAAGCUUCUUGCCGAAGAGAAUAGGAUCAUGACAUUGAACCGCGAUUACAUGAACGACAUCACCAAAGAAUGGCAUGAUAGGGCAAGGAGAGACAUCUUGAAGAGGAGGAUGCUAGCGGCGGCCGGUGGGUGUUUCGGUGCCGGUGAUGUUUUCCCAUCAGGAGUUGGAAUCGGUGUCGCUGAUGCAUUUAGUGCGCUCGACGAUGCUUUCAAUGCCGGAGUUGGAGCAAGUGACGGCGAUGGAUCCGGGGGUGGCGAUGGCAUCGAUGGCGGUGGUGCGGAGUGA